GGCCUAAUGGCCCAAUGGCAAGGCGCUUGACUACGAUUAACCAGAUUUCGAAUCUGGUAAAUCGGCUAUCAAGAGAUUCCAGGUUCGACCCCUGGUUAGGUCA